UACGGAGGGAGCAAGCGUUACUCGGAAUUAUUGGGCGUAAAGGGCGCGUAGGCGAUCUGACAAGUCUGGUGUGAAAGCCCACAUGUUAACUGUGGAAGUGCAUUGGAAACUGUUGGAUUUGAGUUCAGGAGAGGAAGGCAGAAUUCCCGGUGUAGCGGUGAAAUGCGUAGAGAUCGGCAGGAACACCCAGGGGGAAACCAGUCGACUGGGCAUCUACUGACGCUGAGGUGCGAGAGCGUGGGGAGCGAACCGG
rnacentral:rRNA from 1 species